rnacentral:rRNA from 1 species
AUACGGAGGGUGCGAGCGUUACUGGGAGUCACUGGGCGUAAAGCGUCCGUAGGCGGUCGGGUAAGUCGGGUGAGAAAGCCCCGGGCUCAACCUGGGAAGUGCACCCGAUACUGCUCGACUCGAGUGCGGGAGAGGAUGGCGGAAUUCCCGGUGUAGCGGUGAAAUGCGUAGAGAUCGGGAGGAACACCAGUGGCGAAGGCGGCCAUCUGGCCCGCAACUGACGCUGAGGGACGAAAGCGUGGGGAGCAAACAGGAUUAGAAACCCCAGUAGUCC